rnacentral:rRNA from 1 species
UACGUAGGGGGCUAGCGUUGUCCGGAUUUAUCGGGCGUAAAGAGCGUGUAGGCGGCCAGGUAGGUCUGGUGUGAAAACUCGAGGCUUAACCUCGAGAUGUCAUCGGAAACCAUCUGGCUAGAGUCCGGAAGAGGAGAGUGGAAUUCCUGGUGUAGCGGUGAAAUGCGCAGAUAUCAGGAAGAACACCAAUGGCGAAAGCAGCUCUCUGGGACGGUACUGACGCUGAGGAGCGAAAGCGUGGGGAGCGAACAGG